GAUGAAGAACGUAGCGAAAUGCGAUACGUAGUGUGAAUUGCAGAAUUCAGUGAAUCAUCGAAUCUUUGAACGCACAUUGCACCUCUCGGUAUUCCGGGAGGUAUGCCUGUUCGAGCGUCAUUUGUACCCUCAAGCUCUGCUUGGUGUUGGGUGUUUGUUCCGCCUCUGUGUGUGAACUCGCCUCAAAACAAUUGGCAGCCGGCGUACUUGUUUCGGAGGGCAGCACAUUUUGCGAUCCAGAUCAACGUACAGCGGCAUCCAAGAAGCCUUAUUUAACGCUCUUGACCUCGGAUCAGGUAGGGAUACCCGCUGAACUUAAGCAUAUCAAUAAGCGGAGGA
rnacentral:misc_RNA from 1 species